GCGGAAGUGGUGGAAUUGGCAGACACGCUAGUUUGAGGGACUAGUGCCUGAAAAGGUAUGCGGGUUCAAAUCCCGCCUUCCGCACCA
rnacentral:tRNA from 1 species